CUGCACCUUCUUCUCCUCCUUCGUUCAAUCAUCAUUUCUUCUGGAUCCUACCACCACCACUGUGGCCUCAAUUAAUGACCUUGAUGACCGUGACAGCUGCUCUUUUGAAAGUCAUUCUUUCUGUCUUAGCACAUUUCCUGUUUCUCUACCAUUGCAGCCGCUGCUUCUGCCCCGGCUAACUAGAAUAACUUUGAUUUUGCUCGUCACCACUCGCCCCCAACCUCUGCUCUAAAGAUUUGAAGUUUGGGCUUUUGGGGAGCAAUCUCUACAUGAUUCUUCCAUCUAAUAUUGGUUUCAUAAGAGAUAUAGGCCUUUCCUGGUUUAGAAUUUGACAAUCCAAUUUUUGGCGUUGGUCAGAGAGUGCUCGGAUUUUUUUUACGGUGGCCAGAAGAUGCUCGAAUAAUCCAGUUUCCCAGAGCUUCGAGUCUUCAUUUCUACAAUUUUUUUGUUAUUUCAAAUAUGGUAUUGUUACAUUGUCAUGUUCAUUACCUUUCUCCUCUCUUCCUCUAAUUUCUUCACUUUUUAGUUCCAAGGAACUGUAAAACAUAAGGUGGCGUUCGAAAUUGCCUUACAAAAUGUUAUUUGGUAAUGUUGAUGAGUCUGACAAUUUUCUACUGAA